UCAAGGUCGGCAGUUUCUCAUACUUGACUUGAUACCUCACUCUUUCAUCCCCUUUCUUGCCACUUACAAACCUCUUGAUUUUUUGCAUUGAUAUCGAUGCUUACCCUAACUCUGACAAACUCCCCAAAGAAUCCUACCAGGAGCUUCAAUUGCACCUCUUCUACCUUCCCAACCCAUGAGGCUCAGUCAGGAAUUUGUCGGGUAGUCCAUGUAUAUGUGCCCAUACAACUAACCUAUCGAGCUUUAUCGAAUCAGGGUUCCUGAAACCGUCAUACUCCUUCAAGAUCACUGCUUGCUCCCGAAACAGCCAUGGCCCUUCAACAUCACCUUGUUCGAGUGUGCGAGGCACCCAAAUUGAGUCGUGAAUAGAUUUUCUUUGAUUCUCCUCCACACUACCUAUUUUUCCGGAUUACAGGCCGUCCUCAAGUCGUCGUACAAUGCAUCAGGGUUGAAGGUUUUGGUAGUGUGAACGCAUGCAAUCGCUAGCCACUUCGCCAGCUCAACCAUGUCCGGCAACUCCUCCCAGAUGAAAUCAUCCUCCUCUUCUUCCUGCAGCAUGAGACAAGACAAGAGUUCCUCCUCAGAUUCCUUGCUCCUUCUCCCUUGUGAUCCAGCGCCUUCCGUCAUUGUCACCAGAUCCGAUCUCGUCGCCG
rnacentral:lncRNA from 1 species